CUGAGCGGACGAUUGAACCUGCUGACUUUCUGCUGGGUUCAGGGCAGAGGGGCAUGGGAGUGAGGAGAUACACUGCGAAGGGGAUUAGUGUGGAUCAGUUUAAGUACAUGGGAUUCUAUAAUAACACACCACACCCUCAUGAGGACCUUUUCUACAGUACACACGUCUACAGGUGCCUCAUUGUGAUGCUACUUCCUUCUGGAGGUUGUUGACCUGCAGAAGAUCGAUUCGAGGUUCCAGAGCAGCAGGCAGUGAGUGAUGGGGUCAGUCUAUCACACGGCACAGUCAGAGCUCCGGAUCAUAAAGUUCUCCCUCAACUCUAACAGUAAGCUGUUUUUUGCAUGAUGUCACAUUUACUUUAUUUGUGUGACCACUGUGGAGAUGAUACAAAAGAGCUGAUCUGAUCAGAAUUUUAUUAAAACCUGUAAACAUUACAAAACUUUAAAUUUGCCUACAUUUCUUAGAAGGAUGAGUGCAUGCGAU